GCGGCCCCACAAUAAAUAAAUCAAAAAUUCGGAGUAGCACAACCCGACAACAUAACAAUUCGUCCCUACAAAUUAUAUAAAUUAGGUUUGGUGUUGGGAGAGGAUCUUGACUGUACAGCCAUCAGCUCCUCCUCAACAUGAUGGUGACAUGUUACUUCCAUAUGCUAGGCGUUGGACGCGUGGAAUUGAUAGGGAUACCGAGUCACAUCAUGUUCUUA